UAUAUACAUAUUCGUAUAGCGCUACCAAUCCCUGCAAAAUAUAGAACGCAGAUUUUCAUUACACACACGCACGCACGCACGUGCACAGCACACACACCAAAAGGAAACGGCAACGCGCUCACAGGAAGCGCCUGAAAAACGAAAAAAAAAAGGAAAAGUGUGGGGAACCGAGGUCGUCUUGGGCUGUCGCCUCUCCCUCUCCCAGAAGGAAUGAAGAGGUUCUUGGAAAGCAGGGACGGGCGAUUCUCUCUGUCAGCAUCAGCUCCCACCAGCGAGGACGGGGCGAGAAAGCGAAACGGGACUUUCCUUGCUGUCUAUUUUUUCUUCGUCAGGCCAACGCCGCUUGCUUGCAGGGGCGCAGGCGAGUUCCCGCCAAAUGGCGCGGGUGCGUGAGUUGCCGCCAAAUGCUAGCUCUGGAUGCCAGCUCGUUCCGCGUCUCAUGGUAGACUAGUUGGUGCAUUUCUGUUAUCAUGGACUGCGCAUAUAAACGCAAGCUACACAAAAGUGACAUGGACAAGAACAGCGCAAGCCCUUUACAUGCAGUGGAGCCGCCGUAUCUCGCCGUUCAAGAUAUGCGUACUCGAAAAAAAAAAAAAAAGAGGCUUUACAUGAGAACGGAUCAAGCGUUCGAGAGUUGGGACAGGGAAAUGUGAGACGUACGUAUGUAUAUAUUUCUAAUAUUAUUUUUUCGUCUUGUAUUCUCGUUAAUUUUUCUCUAGGAAACACUGGAACGACACUGCUUAAAUUGAAGCACAGUGUGCGAAUGACCUGCUACGCUCGGAACUGUUAUCACCAUUCGGGAAGAAAUUGGAUGAAAAAACAUAACUGUAAAUACCUGUAUGAUAUACGUCUGGUGCAUUGCAGGUAAGAAUGGAUUGUGUGUGGCGCGCUUCACCGCAU